rnacentral:rRNA from 1 species
UACGGGGGGGGCAAGCGUUGUUCGGAAUUACUGGGCGUAAAGGGCUCGUAGGUGGCCAACUAAGUCAGACGUGAAAUCCCUCGGCUUAACCGAGGAACUGCGUCUGAUACUGGAUGGCUUGAGUUUGGGAGAGGAAUGCGGAAUUCCAGGUGUAGCGGUGAAAUGCGUAGAUAUCUGGAGGAACACCGGUGGCGAAGGCGGCAUUCUGGACCAAUACUGACGCUGAGGAGCGAAAGCGUGGGGAGCGAACAGG